rnacentral:lncRNA from 1 species
GUCAUUUUUAGUAGAGACAGUGAAAAGGGUCUAGGAGACCUAAUGGAUUUAUGAUUUGUUUGUUCCAGGGAUAAUCAAAUAAAUGUGCUAUGUUGGACAUUGUGACAGGAAGAAGAUGGAAGAGGUGGAUGUGAGGACAUAUCUGAAUACAAGCUUAAAAACCACAAAGGGUAAGAUGUUCAGCUGCGCAGAGUGCUUAGGGUUAAGUUGUGGCUGAUGGUGCAGAGUCCAGAACUCGGCUCGCUCGGAGAGGCGCCCUCCCCACGCAGUGGAGAGUGAGAGCCGGAAUUACCAAGAGCUGGACAGAAUGGCGCCACGGAGAGAGCUGGGACUUGAACUGAAGCUGAAAGUCUAGCUGGGCCAGGAAGGAGGCCGGAAGACAGAGGCAAAGGCUGGGUUCUUGUGAACGAACCCUCCCUCGGAGGCCAGUGAUUGACUUCCGGCCAGGGAGCCGCUGUGAGAAAUGCCCUCCUAUGGGAAUCGCGCAAGUUUUUUGAGCCAGAGAAGGAAGAUUAAUACGGUGGCAAAUGUACC